rnacentral:rRNA from 1 species
GACGAACGCUGGCGGCGUGCUUAACACAUGCAAGUCGAACGGAAAGGCCCUGCUUGCAGGGUACUCGAGUGGCGAACGGGUGAGUAACACGUGGGUGAUCUGCCCUGCACUUCGGGAUAAGCCUGGGAAACUGGGUCUAAUACCGGAUAGGAGCCAUUCUUAGUGUGUUGGUUGGAAAGUUUUUUCGGUGUAGGAUGAGCUCGCGGCCUAUCAGCUUGUUGGUGGGGUAAUGGCCUACCAAGGCGGCGACGGGUAGCCGGCCUGAGAGGGUGGACGGCCACAGUGGGACUGAGAUACGGCCCAGACUCCUACGGGAGGCAGAAGUGGGGAAUAUUGCACAAUGGGCGCAAGCCUGAUGCAGCGACGCCGCGUGGGGGAUGACGGCCUUCGGGUUGUAAACUCCUUUCGCUAGGGACGAAGCUUUUUGUGACGGUACCUAGAUAAGAAGCACCGGCUAACUACGUG